rnacentral:rRNA from 1 species
AUUGAACGCUGGCGGCAGGCCUAACACAUGCAAGUCGAGCGGAUGAAGGGAGCUUGCUCCUGGAUUCAGCGGCGGACGGGUGAGUAAUGCCUAGGAAUCUGCCUGGUAGUGGGGGAUAACGUCCGGAAACGGGCGCUAAUACCGCAUACGUCCUGAGGGAGAAAGUGGGGGAUCUUCGGACCUCACGCUAUCAGAUGAGCCUAGGUCGGAUUAGCUAGUUGGUGGGGUAAAGGCCUACCAAGGCGACGACCCGUAACUGGUCUGAGAGGAUGAUCAGUCACACUGGAACUGAGACACGGUCCAGACUCCUACGGGAGGCAGCAGUGGGGAAUAUUGGACAAUGGGCGAAAGCCUGAUCCAGCCAUGCCGCGUGUGUGAAGAAGGUCUUCGGAUUGUAAAGCACAUUAAGUUGGGAGGAAGGGCAGUAAGUUAAUACCUUGCUGUUUUGACGUUACCAACAGAAUAAGCACCGGCUAACUUCGUG